GACGAACGCUGGCGGCGUGCUUAACACAUGCAAGUCGAACGGUGAAGGGACCGGUUUUUGCUGGUUCUGGAUGAGUGGCGAACGGGUGAGUAACACGUGAGUAACCUGCCCCCUUCUUCUGGAUAACCGCAUGAAAGUGUGGCUAAUACGGGGUAUUCUGCGCCUGCUGCAUGGUGGGUGUGGGAAAGAUAUUGUUUCGGUGGGGGAUGGGCUCGCGGCCUAUCAGCUUGUUGGUGGGGUGAUGGCCUACCAAGGCGGUGACGGGUAGCCGGCCUGAGAGGGUGGACGGUCACACUGGGACUGAGACACGGCCCAGACUCCUACGGGAGGCAGCAGUGGGGAAUAGUGCACAAUGGGCGCAAGCCUGAUGCAGCGACGCCGCGUGAGGGAUGGAGGCCUUCGGGUUGUAAACCUCUUUCGCCAGUGAAGCAGGCCUGUCCCUUUUGUGGGUGGGUUGACGGUAGCUGGAUAAGAAGCGCCGGCUAACUACGUG
rnacentral:rRNA from 1 species